CAGUAUUAUAAUCCCCCUGUUGAUUGGGCCUGUCUAGUGGGAGGGGCCAUGGGGUAUAAAAAGGGUGAGCUGCGGUCUGACAGUCUGCUGUAUGCUGUUGCCAGAAGAGGUUAUCUGUAUUGAGCAGGGUGCUCAGCUCUCCACGAGAUGCUAAAUAUCUACUGAGGUUAAAGACUUUUUGAAGUAAAGAGGAGCAUCUCAUCUGACCCUGAUGUCUAUAGUGGAUAUUUAACUGCAGUUCUGUGAGUAUCCCAACUUAACCAUGAAGAUGAACUGCAAACUGUAAGUCAUUAAUUUCUCAUUACUCUUGGGCACAUUGAUGUAUUUUGGCUUCCUGGUACCUGUUACCUGAAGGUUCAGCUGAGUAUUAAGGAUGUUUUAUUGGUUCGGGGGUUACUUAAGUGUUUGGUUUAUGUUUGUUAAAAUGGUUACAGGUUCCAAGUUAUUGUUUUAAGCUGGAGUAAUCGGUUGGGUUCUGACAUCUUCAGUCUUCUUUCAUUCUACUCUCCUGAGCUCUGCAUCUUCAUCACAUGAGUGCUGCUUUACAGAUGAUGGUGUGGUCUGGUCUGAGUGAGCAGAGGUGCAUACUGGGAUACAGAGCUGUCUGAAGUCUACAGGUCUGUAGACACGCCCCCUCAGGGGAAACCAAGUGUUUGAGAAACUGUCGUGACGUCAGUUACAUGGACUGGAAUGUUCUUUAAAAUUGGCUCAGGGAUUCAGAAGGAGAAACACCAGGGGGAGAUGAGGGGGCUCCUCAUCUCAACGACUAAAACACAACUUCAGUCUGACACAGAGAACCAUGGAACACGUUCAACAGUCCCCUCCAGGCAUCGAGACUCCUCAGGAACAGCUUCAUUUCCAUGAAGGUCUUAUUUGGGGCCAUCCCCAGGUGGAUCCUGCUCCUCAAGAGCCACCCCCCUCCACUGUGUGGUCUUCUGAACAGAUGACCUCCUUCCUGUCCUCAGGCUGACUAAAGCUGCACCGUUUGCAUCUGUGAAGGCCCCUCAUUCAGGAAACCACUGGACUACAAAGACAUGACUUCCGAGACGUUGAAUCAACCUGGGACACAUUUUGGAGACGCCAAGCAUAAUCCAUCACCAAUGUGGGACGCCACUGAAGAAUGUUGUACAUAAUUUAUGUCUCUGGAGACAUUGGUUGUUCUGUUCUGGGUGCCCUGGCAGGAGAGCUGGGGGGGGGUGAUGGAAUGUUAUUUGGCAUGAGGUUUUUACCCUGCAUGAUUGUUUGGCCUUUUAUGGCUCAGUGGUGCGUGUGUUUGGGUUUGACAUGAGAUGGAUGAUUUUUGAGCAUCACUAGGGUUCUACUGUGUGUGUCUCCCUCUCACACCUGGCAUGGGGUUCUACGUGCCUGUUCUGUGUGUCCGGCUUGCUUCGACCGUGAUAAUGAUCAUACGGGGGUCUGUGUGAUUGGCUUGGGAUUUGGAAUGGUCAAAUAAAUCAUACCUGAUGGACGGCCACACGUUUACUUAAGGGCCUCCAGUAGACGUGAAGAGCCCUGAGCGACACUCCGGAGCGAUAUCCAACACACUGGGCAGGAGGGAGAGUAUCCAAAUCAAGUGUAAGGAUGCAAGCGGCGUGUUCAGAUCAGUGACUCUAGGACUACACCAAUCAGGAUCAAUGGAGGAUGGACACCUAAAGGCAUUCACAAGGAGAGUCUGACGUUGGAAAGGGACCUAAUUGGAUAUUCAAGAUGACCUUCAGACCUGUAAUGAGACGGCUCUUCCUACCUGGCUGGAUUGAUGGAGAGCCCUGUGGAUCUUGUCUUGCUCUCAGUUCCACGUCUUCUCAGGCUGAACUGUAUUUGUUUCGGACAGGACCAGCUGAACGAUUGGUUCCCUUAAAUCAGAACCAAUCCGGGAACUCCAGUUAGUGCGCUCUUCAAGCUGAAGUUGUGCCUUUCAGCUGAGGAGGUAACACGGGAUUCCACCGCACGCUGCCCGGCGUCCAUUCCUACCGGGCGCGUAACGGCAGCGUAGCGCUGCCUUGCGAGCCAGCCGUAUUCACGCAAGAUCACGCGAUAAUCCUAAACAUAAUGUACUCACCUUCCACUCCCAAAACUAUUGCAUUUAAAUGCCACGCUUUGUCCUUUCUGACAUUUUCCUUAUAAAAAGGAUGAUUUGGUACAUAAAUGACUUCAUGUUGCUGAACUACGACAAUGAGUCUCGUCGUCCAUGUUGCCGACCCUCUGAGACCCUUUGAUUGACUGCUGACCUGGUGCCACCGGUCAUGACGUAAUACUGUUGAUGUGAAGUUACAUGAGCUGAGUAUUGUGUUUUAUUUUGAAAAUUGACCGGAUGCUCUCUUGCUUUUACUUUUCACUUCCUGCCCGGCUCGACCUGCUCUGUCGAAAUUGACGCGGUUUAGCAGCGGCUCGCGGCAAAAAUAGAAUUAGGACGGAAAGAUAGCGCCGCGGCGCAGGACGCCGCUCCUGGGACGCUGCUGAAACGUUCCGCGGCGUGCCCGGUGGAAAUGGUCUCAUUGAUUAGAGUGGAAGCGAUCAGCAGCGGUGACCGCGGCGUAGCCGUCCCGCGGCACGUACGCCUCCGGUGGAAUCAGGCCUUAAGGAAACCUUCAUUGGGGCUUCAAGGUGUAAAGAGGAGAAUGUUUCAAAGUGUUCCAUGGUACUCUGAUGAGGACCGUUGUUGUGUUCCACUGGCUGAGAGGAAGAACCCUCCAUCUUCCUCUUGGGCUUUCUCCUCUGAGAAUCCUGGCGCCAUCUUGAAGAAUAUUCCAGCUCAUGUAACUGAUGUCACGACCGAUUCUCAAACACUUGGUUUCUCCUGAGGGGCGUGUCUAAAGAACUGAAGACUUCAGACAGCACUGUAUCCCAGCAUGUAUCUCUGCUCACUCAGACCACACCCCCAUGGUAGGAUGCAACACUCUCGUGAUGGAGAUGUAGAGUUUUAUAAGUAACGAGGGAGCAGACAAAGGUGAUUAGAACAAAAUGGAAUGUCAAAUCUGUAAAUCUUUAAGCCAUGAAGAUGGUUGGAUAGUUCAGGAAUUGGGCUUCUUUUUAUUAUGGGCAGUCCUUUUUCUCAGAUGCCCACUUCUCACUGGAGCUGUACAUGUGUUGGCUGGUUGGCAUGAUUUGCUGUUGUUGAUGAGGCGGUCAGGGUGACGUUGCAGGGCUAUGGUCGGCUCUCUGUGAGCUCAACGUUUAGAUUUGCUCUGUAUGGUUUGUACCCUGAAUAAUCUAGAUAAUUGUAAAAUGUAGACACGGUUUUGUAUUGAAUGAUUCAAGGAUUUUAGGUUUAAAGUUGUUGUGGGACGUACAUGGUAGUUUGGUUCUUCGUACGGUUUUGAGUGAUAUAACUUGUACACACUGGGUGCAUAAUAAUGUAAAUGUACACUGAAUAGUAGUAAUGACCAACAGCAACAAACAGAUCUCCUCAAGGUAAGUCUGUUGGCUGUGUUUUAAUGAAGACCAUCGCUGGACUUCAGGAUCUUCCUCCGUUCAGCUCAAGGUGAGGCGCUGGUUCUGUUUUUCUUUGGUUGGUUCCGGCCGGAAUGUUCGGAUUCCAGUCGGACGGUUUGUGCUUCCCGCCGUGGAAGAUUUUGAGUGCGGUCACUUGUUUUAGUCCCAAUGGUUAGCAUAGAACGUUGUAGUCUUGACAACCAUAAGAAACCACCUGGCAGUUAGUUGGACGGGAGUCCCCUGAGGGGAUCUGGCGGAACGUUCUGGACUUCUUUUUGGCGUAAACUCGAGCCGUUGCCAACGGAAACUAUUUUUCAGUCGGUUUCCAUUGGGAAUUGUUGCCCCUAUCUUAAACAACUUAUGGUUGAUAUUAAAUACAUACUGACACGUACGUCGUACAAUAUGUUGAUCAUUUCCGAUGGUUGCGCGGCCGUACUUUUAACCACGAUGACGUGACGGGAAUCUCGUUGCGUACAAAACGGCGUUCUACUUGCGGCCCCAAUUUUGACAUCAGUGAAGGCUGAAAAUCAUUUCAAGUUGGAUGAUAAUUUGACAUUUCUUCAACGGAACCCAGCACCUGAAUAUGGCUGAGUAUAUUUGAUUUAAUAUCGAUGGCUUAGUGUUCUUUGUUACUUCAGCUUUUGUAUGUUCUAAAUAUCUGCUGUCAUUAAUUGCCACAGAAGUUAAACCCUACCCAAUGGAAUGACGUUAAACAACGACUUUGGUGCAGAGUAACCAACUGGAUAAUAUCAAAGCUAAAAUAAUGUCCGUCUUUCCCACAUGUUACAGUAGAAGAUACUCUAGAACUGUACAAGGUUAAAAAGGUAACAUGUAGUUUGUCUCAAGGUGUCUGCCUCCUCACCCAGAGCAAGACCUCCACCUCCUCACCCAGAGCCAGACCUCCACCUCCUCACCCAGAGCCAGACCUCCACCUACUGUCAGAAGUCCACCAGAACAGGUCAGUGCUCUGGUGUGUGAGUAGAGUCUUCUCAGGUCAGUUUCAAUGCAUGGCCUGAACCACUUCUUUAAACUUGUGGACUGCUCUGUCUUCAUUCACAAAAACGGGAUGCUCAUGUCUGGUCAAGUCUUUUCUAGACUUGUUAUAAAAUAAUAGGUAAAUGAAUUGUGUUACUUGGUUUCGGAUGAGUCAAUUAAGUUUAUUGUUGGGCAAAUGCUGAUAUAAUCCUGCUGCUGUAGCUGAAAUGCAAGGCUGAGAGGCUGGGGACCGGAGGCUUGUGGUGCCAGGGUGGACCGGGGACUGAGGCUGGAGAUCAGGGGCCUGCAGCACCGGACCAGAGGACCAGGAGUCCAUGUCUGGAGGAGCCUUGCUGAAGGAGCUGAUGGAGAUGCCGUGCUGAAGGAGCUGAUGGAGGAGCCGUGCUGAAGGAGCUGAUGGAGGAGUCGUGCUGAAGGCCCUGCCUGGUGGAGGAGCUGGUGGAGGCCCUGCCUGGUGAAGGACGUCUGUCGUGGGACCAGGACUCUGGCUGAGGAGAGCUGAUGACGACCUCACUCUACCUACCAGGAUCCUCACCAGGAAUCUGGAGGACUGAUGGAGAAGC
ensembl:lncRNA